AUUAACUCGAAGUGACAUCUACUGUCGAUAAUACGUUCGAGAAUUCUUCCAUCUCUCGCUCUCUGAUUCGCUCACCUCUCUCCACGUGCACCAAGGGCUGAACGCGUACGUGCCGCAAGUGAACAGACUUUUUCCAUUGGUAUUGGUCUUGUUUUCGGGCGCUGGCCACGAGGCGUGUUCGAGAGGCGACAACGACGUUAGAGUCAACCGGUACAGAUUAUCUCUGGAAUCGGAAUCGUUUACUGCUUUUCGUGUUUACACGCGUGGGACGGAGGACAUGUGGAAAAUGGCGCGCGCCGCCUUUCGAGCUGUCGCGCAAUCACGCCGCAGGAAACUAGCAUAAACGGCGCCUACGUGGGCGCUACGCCGCGACGAGAACCGACCUGACCAAAAGUGAUCGUUAGUCGAGCGAAGCGGCUCCAGCUCGGUCGUCGAAGACGUGUGCACAUGUAACGAGUAUCGCUUAGAAUCGUACACAUUUAACGAAUAGAGUGAUAUAUUCUUAAAGAUGAAAAUUCUUCGCAAUAUAAUCUUUAAGCAAUAUUCAAGUUUGGUACGUUUAAGGAAACUCCUAAUCUUAUUGCUUUCUUAUUAUUAAAAACUACGCGUUUUCGUUCAAGUUUUAAUCGUUUUGUAAAAUUUUCACGUGUUAUAAAAACGAAUCUCUACACGUAUGAUUUUAAGUGGCAUACACUGUAUGUACGAGCAAUCCUAUUGAGACAGAUUGUUUCCUGUUCGUUAAACGAAUAGGAUGGAUCAUUUGCCAACCUCGUUCUCGUCCGACGUAACUUCUGGGCACGACUCGCGUUUGUUCAACGUCUAAUGGAGUUCGAUGGCCGCGCGCAUACACAGAAUGAAAUUGCGACUCAACUCGAAAUGGGUCGAUUUUUAACCGAUCACAUGUAAUCGUUUAAGGGUUCAGGCUCGAUAGAAUACAGCAUCCUAUUCCCUUCCAUUGCCUUUCUACGAUUCGAUACAUUUUUCGAUGUAAUUCAAUUGCGAAAAUUGUAAAAAAUAUUCGAAUCGAUCGAAACACGAACCUGUUAACUUACACAACGGAAGUGCAACAGGAUCGCAACGGUGUCGCGUCACUCGUGCGCAUCUAUCCCUUAGAGUGAUCUCCAAUCUAUGUCGCUAUUCA